AUAAAUGAGAAGGGUCUGGCUGCAGACCAUGGGCGAGUGGAGCUCCACUCUCAAACCGGAAGUACGUCACCUCCACUUGAAAACAUCAAGAUGGCGUCGCCGGGAGUACUUCAAACUUAAAAUCAGAUCAAAUGUAUAUCAAGUGUUAUCCAUCCUCAUAACACCUCCACAAAUAGAGACUGGAACUUCUGAGCACCAUCACCUUGUCUGCUUUGGGACUGUCAUAGGAGAAUGAUGCAGUACUAUUCUGUGUUGAAUUUACAAAACCCCAGCAAUCAGAUGCAUCAGAACAACAAAGCACAACUGUGGUGCCCCAGGCACCUUCAGCAACAAGUAAAUUGCUUUAACUUUAAUGAUAAUGAAAUGUCAGUAUUGUAAUUAAACUUGACCCAUCUGACGUAAUUGUUCAUGCCAGAGAUUUAACAACACUGUCAGUCAGGAGCAUAUUUAACAGGAGCCACACUCAACUGGCUUGAUGGUGACUUCAGUAAGUGUGGUUGACCCUCUUGUUUUUGUGGCUAUAAUAAUUAGGCUAAGUAAACUCACUCUCUUCCAUUUCCCUAACAUGAAACUUGACUGAAACAUGAAAAUGAUACUUAACCGGUGCAGUGAAGAUAUUUAAAGAAACACUAUCACUAUCUAAAGUACAGAAAGCCUUACAUCAUCUCUAGGUGCAGUCACCUACAGCGCAGCCAGCUUCACAAAGACUGUGGGGCUGGUCACCAGGAAAAUGGACAACAGGGAGUGCUUUUGGGGUUUUACUCCUCAGAUGAUCACCCUGGCUACUGUAGCUGGGAUUGCUUCACAGACGAUGGAGGUCUUGAAGAGUAAAGUGUGCGUGCGUGCGCACACAUUGUGUUUUUACUGUAACAAUUAUGGUCACUUGCAGUUAAUUUGUUUUUAGUGUAGUGUAAGAUGUGUUAAUUAUUAUUAUUACUCAAAAACCAUUAAAACUUCUAAAUUGUGGAAGUUAUUCUUCAUUAUGUUACUGUGGUUAUUUAGUAUAUGUUAUUAUUUUGAUUAAAAUACAAAAUUC